CGUAUGGUUCUAUUUUGUUGGUUUCUAGGACCGUCGUAAUGAUUAAUAGGGACGGUCGGGGGCAUCAGUAUUCAGUUGUCAGAGGUGAAAUUCUUGGAUUUACUGAAGACUAACUACUGCGAAAGCAUUUGCCAAGGACGUUUUCAUUAAUCAAGAACGAAAGUUAGGGGAUCGAAGACGAUCAGAUACCGUCGUAGUCUUAACCGUAAACUAUGCCGACUAGGGAUCGGAGGGCGUUAUAAUAACCUCUCCGGCACCUUACGAGAAAUCAAAGUUUUUGGGUUCUGGGGGGAGUAUGGUUGCAAGGCUGAAACUUAAAGGAAUUGACGGAAGGGCACCACCAGGAGUGGAGCCUGCGGCUUAAUUUGACUCAACACGGGGAAACUCACCAGGUCCAGACACAAUAAGGAUUGACAGAUUGAGAGCUCUUUCAUGAUUUUGUGGGUGGUGGUGCAUGGCCGUUCUUAGUUGGUGGAGUGAUUUGUCUGCUUAAUUGCGAUAACGAACGAGACCUUAACCUGCUAAAUAGCUGUAACAAUAGAUUAUUGUUUUGACAGCUUCUUAGAGGGACUAUCGAUUUUCAAGUCGAUGGAAGUUUGAGGCAAUAACAGGUCUGUGAUGCCCUUAGACGUUCUGGGCCGCACGCGCGCUACACUGACGGAGCCAGCGAGUCUAACCUGUGCCGAGAGGUAUGGGUAAUCUUGUGAAACUCCGUCGUGC
rnacentral:rRNA from 1 species